rnacentral:rRNA from 1 species
AUUGAACGCUGGCGGCAUGCUUUACACAUGCAAGUCGAACGGCAGCGCGGGCUUCGGCCUGGCGGCGAGUGGCGAACGGGUGAGUAAUACAUCGGAACGUGCCCAGUAGUGGGGGAUAGCUCGGCGAAAGCCGGAUUAAUACCGCAUACGACCUGAGGGUGAAAGCGGGGGAUCUUCGGACCUCGCGCUAUUGGAGCGGCCGAUGGCAGAUUAGUUAGUUGGUGGGGUAAAGGCCUACCAAGGCGACGAUCUGUAGCUGGUCUGAGAGGACGAGCAGCCACACUGGGACUGAGACACGGCCCAGACUCCUACGGGAGGCAGCAGUGGGGAAUUUUGGACAAUGGGCGAAAGCCUGAUCCAGCAAUGCCGCGUGUGUGAUGAAGGCCUUCGGGUUGUAAAGCACUUUUGGCGGGAACGAAAAGGACUGUGCCAAUACCACGGUUCGAUGACGGUACCCGCAGAAUAAGCACCGGCUAACUACGUG